rnacentral:rRNA from 1 species
CUUGCUUUUCUUGAGAGCGGCGGACGGGUGAGUAAUGCCUAGGAAUCUGCCUGGUAGUGGGGGAUAACGUCCGGAAACGGACGCUAAUACCGCAUACGUCCUACGGGAGAAAGCAGGGGACCUUCGGGCCUUGCGCUAUCAGAUGAGCCUAGGUCGGAUUAGCUAGUUGGUGGGGUAAUGGCUCACCAAGGCGACGAUCCGUAACUGGUCUGAGAGGAUGAUCAGUCACACUGGAACUGAGACACGGUCCAGACUCCUACGGGAGGCAGCAGUGGGGAAUAUUGGACAAUGGGCGAAAGCCUGAUCCAGCCAUGCCGCGUGUGUGAAGAAGGUCUUCGGAUUGUAAAGCACUUUAAGUUGGGAGGAAGGGCAGUAAAUUAAUACUUUGCUGUUUUGACGUUACCGACAGAAUAAGCACCGGCUAACUCUGUGCCAGCAGCCGCGGUAAUACAGAGGGUGCAAGCGUUAAUCGGAAUUACUGGGCGUAAAGCGCGCGUAGGUGGUUCGUUAAGUUGGAUGUGAAAUCCCCGGGCUCAACCUGGGAACUGCAUUCAAAACUGACGAGCUAGAGUAUGGUAGAGGGUGGUGGAAUUUCCUGUGUAGCGGUGAAAUGCGUAGAUAUAGGAAGGAACACCAGUGGCGAAGGCGACCACCUGGACUGAUACUGACACUGAGGUGCGAAAGCGUGGGGAGCAAAC